rnacentral:rRNA from 1 species
UACAGAGGGGGCAAGCGUUAUUCGGAAUUAUUGGGCGUAAAGAGCUCGUAGGCGGUUCGAUAAGUCGGACGUGAAAUCUCCACGCUCAACGUGGAGGGGCCGUUCGAUACUGUCGUGACUCGAGUCCGGUAGGGGAGUGUGGAAUUCCCGGUGUAGCGGUGAAAUGCGCAGAGAUCGGGAGGAACACCCGUAGCGAAGGCGGCACUCUGGGCCGGUACUGACGCUGAGGAGCGAAAGCGUGGGGAGCGAACAGG